CGCCGCAGCGGCGGCCAUGGCAGCGGCUCUCCCUUCCUUGUUUUCUUGUUCCAAAAUGGAAGAAGGGGAAAGAUGGGAAGAGUUUAGUCCCACAUCGCCCAGAAAAAAUUCUUUCAUAUGGGUAAAUAACAUCAGUGUCCAAAGCACCACUGUCCAGCGAACCAAACGGGUAUGAUUUAUUUUGGAAUUCAAUCCACCCGCUCUGAUACCAUUGAUGGAAUUGAUUAACUUAAUGAAUUAUAAAUCAUACCUUGAUUCGCUAAAUUCAUCUUUAAUUGCGCUCUGGGCUUUGAAAUGCGUGCGCAGUCUCGAUCACCGGUAAUCCUAACAAAGGUUAGCGAGUAAUCUUCUGGAGAGAGAGCACUUAAUGCGUGUUUUGAAAAGGGGUCUAACAGGGUAUUUAUAGCCCUCUCCAGGGACCAAACGCUGCAAGUGGUUACACCCGUGAAGAGUCACCCCCCAUCAAGGUAACUCUUCACUGCUGUGAAAAUACCGUAAUGCCCUUGUGAUUAUCAAGAUUUACGAAAUUCAAGGGACACUUGUCAAGAUGUGGGUUCUAAUUAAACGGGAUCAGGGUUUAAUUAAACGGGAUCCAACAU
rnacentral:lncRNA from 1 species